GAUGAACGCUAGCGGCAGGCCUAACACAUGCAAGUCGAACGGUAACAGGUGUAGCAAUACAUGCUGACGAGUGGCGCACGGGUGCGUAACACGUAUGCAACUUACCUCUAACUGGGGAAUAGCUUCGAGAAAUCGAAAUUAAUGUCCCAUAAUAAUUUGAUCAGGCAUCUGGUUAAAUUUAAAACUCCGGUGGUUAGAGAUAGGCAUGCGUCCUAUUAGCUUGUUGGUGAGGUAACGGCUCACCAAGGCUACGAAAGGUAGGGGGCCUGAGAGGGUUAUCCCCCACACUGGUACUGAGACACGGACCAGACUCCUACGGGAGGCAGCAGUGAGGAAUAUUGGUCAAUGGUCGCAAGACUGAACCAGCCAUGCCGCGUGCAGGAUGAAGGCCCUAUGGGUUGUAAACUGCUUUUAUCUGGGAAUAAACCCCUUUACGUGUAAAGGGCUGAAGGUACCAGAUGAAUAAGGACCGGCUAACUUCGUGCCAGCCGCCGCCGUAAGAC
rnacentral:rRNA from 1 species